rfam:Canis lupus familiaris chromosome 29, whole genome shotgun sequence.
ACCUUUGCACAGUGGCAGUAUCGUACCCAAUGAGGUUUAUCCAAGGCACGAUUAUUGCUAAUUGAGAACUUCAUAUAUAGAAUAUCAAUCUCUAAAUAUGGAAUAUCAAUCUUCAAAUGUGGAACCAACCU